UACGUAGGCGGAAGAUUAAGUCAGUGGUGAAAUCCCGCAGCUCAACUGUGGAACUGUCAUUGAUACUGAUUUUCUUGAAUACAGUAGAGGUAGGCGGAAUAUGUAAUGUAGCGGUGAAAUGCUUAGAUAUUACAUAGAACACCGAUUGCGAAGGCAGCUUACUAUACUGUGAUUGACGCUGAGGCACGAAAGCGUGGGGAGCGAACAGGAUUAGAUACCCUGGUAGUCC
rnacentral:rRNA from 1 species